rnacentral:rRNA from 1 species
GACGAACGCUGGCGGCGUGCUUAACACAUGCAAGUCGAACGGAAAGGCCUGCCACCUUGGUGGUGGGUACUCGAGUGGCGAACGGGUGAGUAACACGUGGGUGAUCUGCCCCGCACUGUGGGAUAAGCCUGGGAAACUGGGACUAAUACCACAUACGACCACACUGUAGACAGUGUGGUGGAAAGCCUUGUGCGGUGUGGGAUGAGCCCGCGGCCUAUCAGCUUGUUGGUGGGGUAAUGGCCUACCAAGGCGGCGACGGGUAGCCGGACUGAGAGGGUGGACCGCCACAUUGGGACUGAGACACGGACCAGACUCCUACGGGAGGCAGCAGUGGGGAAUAUUGCACAAUGGGCGCAAGCCUGAUGCAGCCACGCCGCGUGGGGGAUGAAAGGCCUUCGGAUUGUAAACUCCUUUCGCCCGGGACGAACCCCACCUGGUGGGUGACGGCACCGUGGAGAAGAAGCACCGGCUAACUACAUGUCAGCAGCCGCGGUAAUACGUAUGGUGCAAGCGUUGUCCUGAUUUACUGGGCGUAAAGAGCUCGUAUGUGGUGUGUCGCGUCGUCUGUGAAAUUCCGGUGCUUAACUCCGGGCGUGCAAGCGAUACUGACACUACUAGAGUGCUGUAGGAAAGUGGAAUUCCUAGUGUAGCGGUGAAAUGCGUAGAUAUUAGGAAGAACACCAGUGGCGAAGGCGACUUUCUGGACGAAAACUGACGCUGAGGCGCGAAAGCCAGGGGAGCGAACGGGAUUAGAUACCCCGGUAGUCCUGGCCGUAAACGAUGGGUACUAGGUGUAGGAGGUAUCGACCCCUUCUGUGCCGGAGUUAACGCAAUAAGUACCCCGCCUGGGGAGUACGACCGCAAGGUUGAAACUCAAAGGAAUUGACGGGGGCCCGCACAAGCGGUGGAGUAUGUGGUUUAAUUCGACGCAACGCGAAGAACCUUACCAGGUCUUGACAUUGAUGGACAGAGCCAGAGAUGGUUCCUCUUCUUCGGAAGCCAGAAAACAGGUGGUGCACGGUUGUCGUCAGCUCGUGUCGUGAGAUGUUGGGUUAAGUCCCGCAACGAGCGCAACCCCUAUCUUAUGUUGCCAGCACUUCGGGUGGGAACUCAUGAGAGACUGCCGCAGACAAUGCGGAGGAAGGCGGGGAUGACGUCAAAUCAUCAUGCCCCUUAUGACCUGGGCUACACACGUAGUACAAUGGGAGUUAAUAGACGGAAGCAAUACCGCGAGGUGGAGCAAACCCGAGAAACACUCUCUCAGUUCGGAUCGUAGGCUGCAAUUCGCUUACGUGAAGUGGGAAUCGUUAGUAAUCGCAGGUCAGCAUACUGCGGUGAAUACGUUCCCGGGCCU